UAGGGAAUCUUCGGCAAUGGGGGGAACCCUGACCGAGCAACGCCGCGUGAGUGAAGAAGGUUUUCGGAUCGUAAAGCUCUGUUGUUAAGGAAGAACGAGUGUGAGAAUGGAAAGUUCAUACUGUGACGGUACUUAACCAGAAAGGGACGGCUAACUACGUGCCAGCAGCCGCGGUAAUACGUAGGUCCCGAGCGUUGUCCGGAUUUAUUGGGCGUAAAGCGAGCGCAGGCGGUUAGAUAAGUCUGAAGUUAAAGGCAGUGGCUCAACCAUUGUAGGCUUUGGAAACUGUUUAACUUGAGUGCAGAAGGGGAGAGUGGAAUUCCAUGUGUAGCGGUGAAAUGCGUAGAUAUAUGGAGGAACACCGGUGGCGAAAGCGGCUCUCUGGUCUGUAACUGACGCUGAGGCUCGAAAGCGUGGGGAGCGAACAGGAUUAGAUACCCUGGUAGUCCACGCCGUAAAACGAUGAGUGCUAGGUGUUAGGUCCUUUCCGGGACUUAGUGCCGCAGCUAACGCAUUAAAGCACUCCGCCUGGAGGAGUACGACCGCAAGGUUG
rnacentral:rRNA from 1 species